rnacentral:lncRNA from 1 species
ACCGUGACGUCUGUGAGGUUUGCGUGAGAAUAUUUUUCCCUAGUUCUUUUUUUUAAAGAAAAACAACUAAUUUCUCAUUCCAAUGCGAGUAGUUACUAGUAGUUAGGUAUCAAGCUCAAACCCCUUUAACCGAAUUUCAAAUCAGAAAGCGCUAUAAUUUUGAAAAGAAACUUAAUAAAUUUUUAGAGGAAUUUUAAUUAAAAAUUAGUGACAAGUUGAAUUAUUUUUGUUUUGAUCUUGAAUUCGGAAGACGUAAUCAUUGUAUGUUCAGAGGAGUAUUCUAAUAUUCUUGUGUUCAGUUUCUUGUUUUUCAGGGGAUGCUCUUCUGCAUGAUCCAAUGGUAGGAUCGGAUAGAUCAGCGUGUGUUCACUAUGACAAAUACGAAUGACUAAACAUAAGGAAAGCUUGGAGCGCUGAAAACGUCUAAGGUAAAGAAUUAGAGCUUCUCCUUCAAAAUAAAAAUUUAUCUUAUUUCCUUUUAAAUAAUGUACAUUUUAAAAAGCAAUAAUGAGUAUAGCACACUAACUAAUUUCCAGUCUUCAUGACGGCUUAAUUAAAUAAACCAAAAAGCACAAGUUUAUAAAUGCGAAACUUACUUCAUUAAUAGCUUUGGUCUUAUCUUUGCUUGCUUAAAGGUAAUGGGAUUACAAAUUAAAAAAAAAAAAAACAUUACUGAUUUUGAAAAAAAAAGUAUUUUAAUUAAAUGGAGAACAAUCAAUUUACUGAGAAUAACAAUUUUAUUACUUGAUUUCAGUUUUCGAGUUGUUUAUUACUUCAAUUGUUAGAACAAGUAUAUCACGGAGAAAGCUUAGGCUUUUUUUAAAUUAUCAGCAUUAUUACGAAUAACUCAAAUUGGUACGUGAAUUCCAAUAAGCGAUUUUUACACGAAGCAACUACUUUCUCUAGGAACAUUAAGGCUAAUUCACAGGAGAUUCUUUACUGCAAUUUUUGGUUUUUGAAUCGAGAGAACCACCAGUCUUUUCCAAAAUUUGGUAAAUGUCAUAGCUGCAACCAAAAUCUAUGCCAUAUCCUUGUUUGAGGCCAUAAGGGUUUGAGGGUGUUUGACAGUCCAUGUUUGAUUCUUUGCGUAAUACCGUGUCUAUAUCCACUGACGAGAAGAAAGCAACGGCCUGAGGUAAAUCAUUCAAAUUCAUUUGAUAUGAAAACAUGCACCGGGUCCAAAGGUUUGCGACUUGUAACGCUAAUGCAGCACGGAAUUUAUCCUCUUCCUUAAUUAUGUACCGAACUUCAUCGUGAAUGCUUAUUGAAAAACGGCCUUCAAUUCUAAAAGAAAACAAAUUCAACACUUAAGGAAUUGCAUAAAAUUAAAAAUGAUAAAACAACUACUAACUUGUACACAUCAACGAGGUAUCGCAUUGCCACAAUCAUCAAAUGAAGAUAGUCGACGGCGGAACUCUGGACUACCCAAUUCACGCGACUCGUCAUGAAUUCGUUGCCAACAUUUCGGGGUUCCAAGGCACGACUGAUCCGGCAAUGUAACACUGGAGUCUGCGGCGACUCCGACUGUGCAAUUUCUUCCAGUUUGUUGAACAUGUGUGAUUCGGUUCCGCCAGCCCACAUUCGCCGUUCAACUAAUUCGUCUGUCGGCAAAUUGGCGAUCUUCUUCAGGCUGGGUUCCUUUCUUGCAUUUUUUCGCAUUUCACUUAAUUGUUCUAGUGUUACCAACUCAUCUUUAUUUCCCGAAGCAGAGGCUAAUUGCCGCCCAUAAUGACUUAAUUUGAGGAGAGAAUUACCCUUAGUCAAUGAGUACAUUUUGCGGGCUUUUUCUGUAGCUUCUUUUUCGGUUAACCGGUGAUUGAACUGCAUCAACAAAGUUCUUGCGAAUCGUUCGCCAGCCCCAUAAAUUCUUCCAUAAUUCAAAAUUUUGGCCUGAUCUCUCGUAAUAUCAACGGCUGCAGCGGUUCGGCUGUGCAUGUCUGUCCCAUCACUUUUUUUGCCCUGAAGAGUCAUCCAGCCAAAAGCAGUUGAACCGUGUUGACCGGCGAAAAAUGAGUCCCCAAUUAUAGAUGCAAUCCAAAGUUCUUGAGAAUCAACAUCCGCACCGACAAAGUUAAAGCCAGGAGGACAUUGGAUCAUAGCCUUUAAUUCUGAUCCUAUCCGAUCCUAAACAUCCAGAAUACUUGAGAAUUUUAAAUUUUGUUUGAAUAUAAACAAUAAAAAAAAAUACCUUGUACGCAUUUGAAGCUGUCAACCAGGUAGAUUCAACUGCUCUUCGUGUGAGAGUGCCUGACGUUACGAUCUGUGGUAGAAUGGCCCCAUACGUAUUCAAUGGGUCAAAAUGUUCAGAUUUGGUCACGUUGCGAGGAAUUUGAGAUUGUCGAAGCCACACAACCAUUUGUGACAUAAUGCGAUCGCGAGCGUUUCUCCAGUAGAUGACUGGGAUUCAAGAAGACAGAAAGAAAAUAUUAUACUAUUAUAAAUCUAUCUUAUAUCUAUCUUAUAAUCUGUCGAUUAUAGCUUACUAUUGCGGUUUAGUUUUAAAACAUGUUCGGCAAUGGAACUUGAAGUGGCUUUUAAAGUACCGUCUUCAAUUUUGUUUAAGUAGUCUUUGGCAAGCGGAUUUCCAACAUUGUUGUCAACACCAGAUUUAUGCGGGAGUCGAAAAAACCAACAACCAGCCACACCAACGUCAUAAGGGCCUAUUCCUACGUGCCAAGCAGGUCGAUCGGAUGUCAAAUAAGUGUGUUUCUCUUUUGAUUUGUCAAUCGCAGGAUGAAGAUUCGCUUGAUCUGCGUCGUUGUUUAAACUUCUCCGAGUAGCCUAUAAAAAGAUGGGUGGUAAGUUUGGCGAGAAAAGGGUGAAGCUGGGAAAAUAAAGUAAAAUCACCUGCCACUGCAUGGCCAAGUCAACAGGAUCAGCAGUCAAAUCCGUCAUUUGUCUAAGCUUCAGCAUGGCUUCUUCAGCGGUAAUAAUUCCUUUAGUCAAAACAUUUUGGUCAGCAGGCCGAGGUGGGAAAAGGGCUAAUGCUUCUUUCAACGGAAAAGGAAUCUCACACACAUCUUCAUCGAUUCGAGACAAAUUUAAAGGUCUCCCUGGAACAAGAUAGCCCCAACCUAGUU